GCACAGUGUCGCAUGACACAGUGUGAAAAACUCCGGUGGUAUGAGAUGGGCCCGCGUCAGAUUAGCUAGUUGGCGGGGUAACGGCCCACCAAGGCGACGAUCUGUAGCCGGACUGAGAGGUCGGACGGCCACAUUGGGACUGAGACACGGCCCAAACUCCUACGGGAGGCAGCAGUGGGGGAUAUUGCACAAUGGAGGAAACUCUGAUGCAGCGACGCCGCGUGAGUGAAGAAGUAUUUCGGUAUGUAAAGCUCUAUCAGCAGGGAAGAAAGGCUCGCAAGAGAGAUGACGGUACCUGACUAAGAAGCCCCGGCUAACUACGUGCCAGCAGCCGCGGUAAUACGUAGGGGGCAAGCGUUAUCCGGAUUUACUGGGUGUAAAGGGAGCGCAGACGGUCAAGCAAGUCUGAAGUGAAACCCCACGGCUCAACCGUGGGCUUGCUUUGGAAACUGUUUGACUAGAGUACUGGAGAGGUAAGCGGAAUUCCUAGUGUAGCGGUGAAAUGCGUAGAUAUUAGGAGGAACAUCGGUGGCGAAGGCGGCUUACUGGACAGCAACUGACGUUGAGGCUCGAAGGCGUG
rnacentral:rRNA from 1 species